AAAACAUUCUUGUGGUCAGUUGAUGACCACAUAUUUCAGUUAUUCUAAAAUAUAUCUGCAGAAGAUAGAAUGAGAACAUGAAGAAAUGAGACCCUUGAAAACACUUGAGACAUUUUUCAAGAUCUUCUUUUUGUUCUGCAGAAGAAAGCAAGUCAUACAUGUUUGGAAUGGCAUUAAGAGACGGAUCACACCUGAAGAUGUUUCCAGAGGACACAGGGUUUUCAGUAUGAAACCGAACCCUGGGAGCGCUUCGACCUGAGCUUCAGAGAGCAUGAGACUGAUGUGCUUUUGAAGAUGAUGACAGAUACAGGGCCUUGAUUUCAUUUGAUUAACUGGAGCAAGAAACUCUGUGAUGCAUCAUAGAGAGACCAUCUUUCUCUCCUGAACUCUCUCAGGUUUUGAGGUCAUUUCGUUAAUCACACUUAGAACUUCUGAGUCACAGGUUAAAACAUGUCACUGCAAAUACAUUUCUCUGUUUUUGGGUUCAGUACUUGUAGUACUUUCAGUCCAUAAUCCAUUUUCAUUGAUAUCAAAGGAAUUCAAUGCUUCUAAUGAAUGCAAUCUGUUGUCUUCUUGGUGCCUGUUUUCCCUUGUCAGAACAAGGAAGAAACAUUUAUUGUCCUGGCUUUUGUUUUCUAUAUGACUCUCAUUUUAACCUGCACAAUUAAUAUUGAU
ensembl:lncRNA